rnacentral:tRNA from 1 species
UCCAAUGUGGUGUAGUGGUCAACAUUGCUGUCUUUCACACAGCAGCCCGGGGUUCGAUUCCCCGCAUUGGAA